rnacentral:rRNA from 1 species
GAGUAAUGCCUAGGAAAUUGCCCUGAUGUGGGGGAUAACCAUUGGAAACGAUGGCUAAUACCGCAUGAUGCCUACGGGCCAAAGAGGGGGACCUUCGGGCCUCUCGCGUCAGGAUAUGCCUAGGUGGGAUUAGCUAGUUGGUGAGGUAAUGGCUCACCAAGGCGACGAUCCCUAGCUGGUCUGAGAGGAUGAUCAGCCACACUGGAACUGANACACGGUCCAGACUCCUACGGGAGGCAGCAGUGGGGAAUAUUGCACAAUGGGCGCAAGCCUGAUGCAGCCAUGCCGCGUGUAUGAAGAAGGCCUUCGGGUUGUAAAGUACUUUCAGUCGUGAGGAAGGUGGUGUUGUUAAUAGCAGCAUCAUUUGACGUUAGCGACAGAAGAAGCACCGGCUAACUCCGUGCCAGCAGCCGCGGUAAUACGGAGGGUGCGAGCGUUAAUCGGAAUUACUGGGCGUANAGCGCAUGCAGGUGGUGGAUUAAGUCAGAUGUGAAAGCCCGGGGCUCAACCUCGGAACCGCAUUUGAAACUGGUUCACUAGAGUACUGUAGAGGGGGGUAGAAUUUCAGGUGUAGCGGUGAAAUGCGUAGAGAUCUGAAGGAAUACCGGUGGCGAANGCGGCCCCCUGGNCAGAUACUGACACUCAGAUGCGAAAGCGUGGGGAGCAAACAGGA